UAGGAUUUUGUGUCUCUCGCGUUAGGUUUCCUAAAUCUGUAAAACGUUGUGUAAUGUGAUUUCUUCAUUCGAUUAGGGUUUCAUCGUUGUCUUCCUUCCUUACAAAACUCAAUCCGCCCGGUUUCGCUUUUCAUGAUCUGCAAAAAUAAUUAUCUCUUCUCAUCUCUUCACCUCCUCUUUCGUUUCUCUUCACUUCCCCUUUUGUUCAAUGUAUUCUUUUUAAUUCGUGAAUAAUUAUUAUUCACAUUAAACCCAUUCACAAUGUCGACGACUCUGUUUCCUUCAUCUCAAAUCUAUAAAUAUGAGCGGGUUGAGAUUAGGAUGGAUCUUCAGAACCAGGGGGUCUAGGUUCCUGCUUUUUUUUUGGUUGCAAAGGUUCCUGCGUUGAAAGAAACUGUAUCUCUUUUAAUAUUUUAUCGUCAUCUCAAAGAUGGCUGACAAGAAGAUUAAGAUUGGAAUCAACGGUUUCGGAAGAAUGGUGGCUAGAAUGAUCCUUCAGCGUAAUGAUGCUGAGCUCGUCGCUGUUGACGAUCCCUUCAUCACCACCGAGUACAUGACGUAAAAGUUUAAGUACGCCAGUGUUCACGGUCAGUGGAAGCACAAUGAACUCAAGUUGAAAGAUGAGAAAACAGGUAUUGUUUUCUGCAUCAGGUACUGUGUUGAGCUAGCUGUCGAAGAUCUCAAGGACGGUGCAACAUUUUUUUGUUUUUGACACGGAGAUAAUGGAACUGACCAAAAAAAGAUGCAGCCUCACUGUCUCGAGGAGGCUACUAACGGUGGAGUCUCGCAGCUCCCAUACUGUCUAGAAGAACUUGUUGGCAAGCGAUGCCUCUUUCAGAUUCAGGUGACACCUACAAUUUCACUCCCAACCACCGCACCUUCACUGUUUGUAAUUAUUGAAUAUGUGGUUGUGAAGACUAACAGAGAAUAAGCUAAGCUUUGCUCGGUUAACAAUCUCGACGGGGUGAUCUGAAAUAACACUUAGUUCUAUUACUUUUAAGGUGAAUGCAGCAGAACAGCUCCACAAGCUGUAGGCCAAAAUGAGCAACCACCUGUUCUGGCAGCAACCCAGAGGAUAUGGCUACAAAAGUGAUGGUUGUGGAUCAACCAACACCACCCAGUAUCGGAGACAAAUAGAAAGUUGGAGGCGUAGCGAGCCGUCAUUCCCACUUGAGAUUUCUUUCGUUAGAAACUUUAAGCCAUAUCAAUUUCCUCUGUUUUUCGUUUUACAUGUUUUGGCUUUUUAAAAUUUUCUGCAAACAAACUCCAACUAGGGGCAGUGUUAUUUCGAUUUUACUAAAGGGAAGCUGGCUACUUAAGUCUUUGCAAACAA